GGUGUUGUUUUCUUUGUCUCAUUUUGGUCGUCGUCGUUUCUUUCGCCUUCGCACGCACGUCUCCUCCUCUCCUCCUUUCCCAGUCGUGCACGCCUCCUCCUCCCAUUCCUUCUCCCCUUGUCCCAGCGGCCCUCAAUCUCCCACCACGACCGCUCGAGAACGACGGCGAUGAGGAGGCCCGACCCUUGGCGCAGACCCGCGCCCCCGAGCGGCGGUGACGUCAGAUCUCUCCGUCUGGCGAGGCCAGCCAUCCCGUCGGUGCCGCGAUGCCGCCAGUAUGGAAGCCUAGGCUGGGGCAGACAACGCGGCGUCGUGUGCGCCGGAGGGGGCUCUGGCGACCGCGCGGCGUCCGAUCGUGGGUUCCGGCGACGCCAAGCCGUAGAUCUGAGCCGCCGUCUCCACUUCCUCCUUCCUCACUUCAAGAUGCUUUGGCAGGGAUCCUCCAUAUCAAGGGAAGAGCGGGGUAGUGUGGGCGAGGGAAGUCCUUGUGUACCAGGUUUCUGAAAGAAACAGAAAAGGAAACAAGAUGCAGUCAAAUUUAGACCCUUUGAAGGUAGUGUUAUUGUUGAAUCUUGAUUCCUGAUGCUAUGGAUAUUGUCUGCUUUCAACCCCACCCUGUACUACUCACCAGGUAUGGAGGCUAUGUAAUAUUUAUCCUGUGUUGUCUUUCAAUACUUUCUUCUUUCUGAAAUUUAGCUGCAGACUUUAUGAUUUGGCUGCAGUAUAUAUUGCCUCUGGGUUAUGGGACUUGUCGGCGCAACCUAUCAUUUGAUAAAAUAUAUCAACCCGGGGGAAUAUACUUGUGCUGGAUUGUUUGAGACAUCAGAUAAGCCCAUGUUGCUGUAAAUUUUGCUCAUCUAUUGACGAGGGUAGGAAAUAGUCAGGGGCCUCCUCAUCUUUCAUGUUAUAUCACUUCUUUACGCUUCCACAGCGUAACUCCUUAUUUGUUCGCCGACAGUGGCCAUUAUUUUUGUCUGAUCUCCUGUGUCGAAGUAUGGUGGUUUUACUUUUCUUGUUACAUGUGAUACAAUUACUUGAGAUGUCCACGGUUAAUUAUCUUAAUAAGAGUCAGCAAACACAAAACACAUCCAGUGUGCCCAUUAACGCCAUCCAAAUAAUAAUAUGACUAAUCUGCACAUGUAGUUUCAAAAUGGGAACCACCCAGUAAAAGCUCCUAUGUCUGAACCUAACCAAUAGCCAGUAUUGGUUUGAUUGCCUUGUAGAAGAUGUUAUCCUCUCACUAGCAAAUCCUCGACCCAUCCGGUGGAUCGAAGGACACAAAGCGGAUCUUCGUGCCAAGCACAUCUAGGAAUCUGUAUGUUGGGCAGGUAAAGUUCAGGCUUCAUACUUUGCCUCAUAGUACCACAUGAAUGUGUCCUACGCAUACAAAUAUUUUGUGCUGGGAGCCCAAAAAAUAGCAAUAUCACAUGGAUACGACGUCAUUAACUGGUACACCUAUUAGUCUCAAAUUUCAUAGGGUCAAUAGAAUUCUUAACCCUUAACAGACAUUGUUGCAAAGAAACGUUGAACAACUUUGGAGAAAAGUUGGACCGCGAAAUCCAUGGUGUAUAACUGGUAUUUUUUGUCGAGAAUGUAUAACUAGUAUUUCCUUGCUAUAUGUAUUUCUAUCAUGAAAAGGGCUCUGUUGGAAACCGUAGAAUAAUACAUGCAUGCACAAAGAGUCAGUGUUGGAUCUUCAAUAUAUUGCAGGACUAAUGUAAUUAGAUGACAUCAGUGUUAUCUGCCGGUGUGCUGCAAGGUUUAGAUGAGGUGGACUCUGAAUCUGUGUCACUGAGCUUGAGGAGAGUAAUGCACUGGUCGUAGCCAUUGUAGCACCAGGUGGUAGGACCAAAACAUUUGCAUCUGUUGUUAUUGACAUGGUUGGAUCUUCAGGCUGGAAGCUUGCGUUAGUCGCAGCAAGGAUUACCAGCAGCAGCAACCAACCUGCAGAGAUGAAACUGCAUCACUACUAAUGCUUUAGGAGCAUACCCACCACCUGGUGGUCAAAGUGACAAGAGAACAUUUUCACAACCGGGGAAUAGAAAAGAAUAUGGAUGUGCCAGAAGAAGGAAAAUGUACAAUGAACCAGAAUGUACCAUGUCGAGUGGGAAUUCUCAAUUGACGAGACGCCAAUUCUCAAUUGACUUUAUCCCGUGCAUUGCGCCUUCCGUCCCAGACACCCCCGGCUUCUAUGGUGUCGACCGCUACUUUUCUGCCACGCCCACAUGUGGUUCAACGAUGACACAUAUGUGCAACUACUCGAGCAGGCGAUGAUGAAGGUGAGCGUUUGCUCGGUGGAGGCAGUGGAGGGCGAUGAUGAUGCCGGUAUGGACAUGAAGGCGGACGAAUCUAUUCCAAAGUUCUAUGCGUAGAGAAACUGCAGUAGCAAAUCUCGGGGCUGCAAUACAACGACUUGAUGGGGAGGAGCAUCUGGUAGAUAUACAUAGUGUUAGAUUGCUUUUGGACAAGUCAUCGUGUGUAAUGCAUCUUCAAACCAGGUGCAUAACGUAUAUCCUGGCCUCUGGUAAGUGCUCAGAUGGCUGGAUCCGCUCGUUGAUUUAGCAGGAUGGACAUAGUUACCUACCUGAUUCUAAUCACUCCUUUGCUUCCUCUGCCGGGGUUGAAGUUGGGAUUCUGCAGUCGAUGGGACCAACAACAUCCAUUUUUGUCUUUUUGGUUUUGAGUUUUUUUUGCAAUGGAAAUGAUGAUAGCUUUGCUUUUUGUUUACUUUUAUACUGUAGUCAUCGGUUUUAUUCAUUCACUCUACUUAUUAUCUGGUGAAAUCCAAAUAAUGGUAUCAGUUUCGUGCAUACAUGUCAGGCCGGCCCUCAUCCACAGGCCAGGGAUGGGCAUGGUUUUUCCAGGCCGUGAGCUUCAGAGUUGAGCUGGAUGCCCGCCCAGUGCACAAGUCUCCUGAACAUUCAUACGUUGUUGUUGUCCACUACUUCAGUGCAGCAGCAGCCCAAAAACAAUGAAGGUACCAUAGAACGCUGAACGCAUGCUAUAUCGUGCAUCAGAACGCAUGUGGUACCAAUGGACUCAGACCAAGGGAACAGCUUGUCUAUAUAUAUAAAUGAAGCCAUCGCCAUGUACAUUGCACCUUACUGCAUCCAAGUAAGUAUAGUCCUCCCUACACCACACUAGCUAGUGAUAAUUAUGUCACUCAUCUCCACAGCACUUGUGCUAGCUAAUUGUCCCCCUAGGUCUUUACUUGUACCUGCUGCGCUCUAGUCGUAGAAGAUCAAAUAACCCAGCAGCAGCAGUGUUCCCCACAAAAUGGCCAAUGCUAGGCAUGCUCCCUUCUCUCUUAACCAACAUGUACAACUUCCAUGAGUACAGUUAUUUGGUCCUCGCCCGAUCAGGCCUCAACUUCAAUGGGGACGGCGCGCCUGGGGCCGGGAUGCGGUUCUUCAUCACCUGCGACCCUGCCAACAUCCAGCACAUCUUCACGACCAACUACCACAACUUCCCCAAGGGCGCGG